rnacentral:rRNA from 1 species
UACGUAGGCAGCAAGCGUUGUUCGGAGUUACUGGGCGUAAAGGGCGCGUAGGCGGUCACGCACGUCCGUUGUGAAAUCGCUCGGCUCAACUGGGCGGGGUCAGCGGAUACGGCGUGGCUGGAGCAAGCUAGGGGGCAAUGGAAUUCCCGGUGUAGUGGUGGAAUGCGUAGAUAUCGGGAGGAACACCAGUGGCGAAGGCGGUUGCCUGGAGCUUUGCUGACGCUGAUGCGCGAAAGCGUGGGGAGCGAGUCCGG